rnacentral:SRP_RNA from 1 species
CCAUACCAGCCGGGGACAUAGCGGAGCCUUGUACCUGCAAUCCGCUAAAGCAGGGGUGGUAUCCUUUUAAGAGGGUCGGAUCUGUGCAGUCUGCGCCGUGUUGUGAGGUGUUGACGGAUGGGUCUUGCGCAAUAGGAAGCCGUGAACCAUGUCAGGUGGGGAACCAAGCAGCAUUAAGCGGUCGUUUUUCUAUGUGCCGCGAGGGUGCCUGUCCUGAGCCAAGCUCAUGGUGGCGUGUGUGGGUGCGUCUCGAAUUUAGGGUGUAUGG